GCAAGUCGAACGAGAAAGGGAUUGCUUGCAAUCCUGAGUAGAGUGGCGCACGGGUGAGUAACACGUAGAUAAUCUACCUUCACGCCCGGAAUAACUAUUCGAAAGGAUAGCUAAUACCGGAUGAAGUUGGUUUACCUAAGUAAAUCAAUGAAAGAUUGCCUCUUUACAAUGCAAUCGCUUGGAGAUGAGUCUGCGGACCAUUAGUUUGUUGGUGGGGUAAAGGCCUACCAAGGCAUCGAUGGUUAGCUGGUCUGAGAGGAUGAUC
rnacentral:rRNA from 1 species